CCCCUACGGGAGGCAGCAGUGAGGAAUAUUGGUCAAUGGCCGGAAGGCUGAACCAGCCAAGUCGCGUGAGGGACGACUGCCCUAUGGGUUGUAAACCUCUUUUAUAAGGGAAGAAUAAAUGCUACGUGUAGCAUGAUGCCUGUACCUUAUGAAUAAGCAUCGGCUAACUCCGUGCCAGCAGCCGCGGUAAUACGGGGGAUGCAAGCGUUAUCCGGAUUUAUUGGGUUUAAAGGGUGCGUAGGCUGUGAGGUAAGUCAGCGGUGAAAUGCCCCCGCUCAACGGGGUGAAGUGCCAUUGAUACUGCC
rnacentral:rRNA from 1 species